UUAAAAAGCUCGUANUUGAACCUUGGGCCUGGCUGGCCGGUCCGCCUCACCGCGUGCACUGGUUCGGCCGGGCCUUUCCCUCUGGGGAACCUCAUGCCCUUCACUGGGUGUGAUGGGGAACCAGGACUUUUACUGUGAAAGAAUUAGAGUGUUCAAAGCAGGCCUAUGCUCGAAUACAUUAGCAUGGAAUAAUAGAAUAGGACGUGUGGUUCUAUUUUGUUGGUUUCUAGGACCGCCGUAAUGAUUAAUAGGGACAGUCGGGGG
rnacentral:rRNA from 1 species